rnacentral:lncRNA from 1 species
GGCUUUACAUCAUUGCAACUCAUAAACCUAUAUCUAAUGGAUAGAAAUAACUUAAGGAGAAUGGAUGGUGAGGAUGAGUUGGUCUUGUUGUGAUCUGAGUGAUGUGUGCUGAUUGGAUGAGCUAAGCUGGCUCACUUUAAUUCAAACAAGGCUGUGCUGUGAUUGGCUCUCCUUAGGCUCCUUUGUAUCUGUCUACAGAUCAGUCUAGGUGCAUGGUCGUGGCUGCUCUUCCUUUACAGCAACAGCCAGCCUGUCCAUGCCCCAAAGUAACCAAUCAGCUCCACACAGCAUCUUCUUGAUUCCCUUUGACUAGAUUCAAACCUUGGUGCCUCACAUCCUGAAUAGUGAUCCAAACAGUGAAUAGUCAACCUGAAUAGUGACUAGUGAUUCACUAUUCACUUUUACACCAACUUGCCCAACCUUCUCCAAUCUUACUGUGGUAACUCUCCAAAGUUACUGUGGUAACUUUGGAGUUACUGUCUGACCCAAAUCUUCUCUAAAUGGUGUCUAAGUCCCUCCUGGACUUAACCCUAUCUUUGCACACUCAUCAGACCACUUCUGAAGCCUUAAGACUCUCCCAAAGCCUUAACAUACAAUCUCUGAAGAUCUUGCCAUGUCUUUGCACAAGCACCAACUCAACUCAUCACUUUGGCUUCUCCACUUCUUCUCUUCAAGUUAACACUCCCCCUCAAGCUUGACUUUAGCUAAAGCCUUAAGACUCUCCCAAAGCCUUAACAUACAAUCUCUGAAGAUCUUGCCGUGUCUUUGCACAAGCACCAACUCAACUCAUCACUUUUGCUUCUCCACUUCUUCUCUUCAAGUUAACACUCCCCCUCAAGCUUGACUCUAGCUGAUCCUAAGUCAAGCUUGGAACCUUGAAGAACUUCCUCAUUAAAAACCUCACCAAGGAAAACCCUUUGGGACAAAACCUUGAUGAGGGAAAAAGAGUAAAGUCUCCAAGGCCUAGGGAUUGGCCAGUGAGUCUUUGUGCCUUACCAACAAUGUAAGGGACACAAAGACUCUGGAUCUCGGCCCCUUCUUGUGAUGCAAGGUAGAUCACAUCUUCUCUUGCUCAUCACUCUUCAUCUUGUACUCAUCUCACGGUCUGAUCUCCUUCACUUCCCCUUUCACCUAACCGGCUUGCUAGAUGACUAGACUGAAACCUUUAGAUCAUCCUCUCAAGAGUAUCAAGUAAUAGCUGAGCCUUGGCUGCUUCUUCUCUUAGAGUUUCCACCUUGUUCUAAAGCUUCAUGGUCGGAUGCCUCAGUCUGUAGUACCAAGGCUGCUCUGCUUUGGCCGCCUUGGAGAUUGCUUCACCAUCCUCCAUCUUGCUUCACAAACUGGUCUGCUCCUCUUCUAGAAUAACCGCCAAGUGCUCUCAUCAAGAAGCCUUUUCAACACUCCCCCUCAAGCUUGACCAUGUGGAACAAGUCAAGCUUGGAAGGAGAGCUUCUUGAUUCUCUACAUUUGCUCACUGCCGUCCACCUUCUUGAACCGGCACCUUUGUGAUCAUUUGAAGUCUUCUCAACACUCCCCCUCAAGCUUGACCAUGUGGAACAAGUCAAGCUUGGGAGAGCAGCUUCAUGAUCACACCAUCAGACCCUUGCAGCACCUUCUGAACUCGCCAUCUCCAUGGAAUGCUUGUGGAACCUUCAGCUCCCUCUUCAGACUGCUCACACUGGAAGCCGCCUUGAUAGAGUAGCUCCAUCAUCUUCACACAGCCGAGAGUGCUCUGAACACUCCCUUGUUCUUCCCACAGCUGGAUGACUCCUUUUCCAUCAGUUGCUUGCCAUGGUCUUCCUUCUUUGCUCACUUAACUCCCCUCCUCAAGCUUGGAUAGAAUGAGGGUCCAAGCUUGGAAGUGAGCAGCCGUGAGACUUCACUAACCAGUGGUACAUAACCACUUCAGUAACCGCUCUCCAUUGCUCAUGACAAUGGGCAAUGCCUUCCUCUUUCUCUUGGAUUGGUGAAGAACUAAGAACACUCCUUGUGCACCUGAAACACCACUCAACCUCCAGAGAAGAUUAGACAUAGGUGCAUUGGGUCAGUCCUUGAUUCCACAUCAAGCUUGAACACCAAUGUCUCACUAAAGCAAUGCAAGAUCAAACAAGACACCCAAGUUUCAAAUCAUUGCAAGCUUAGCUCUCUAAGUUCUAGUAUGAUCCUACAGAUUCAUUACAAGAUACUUAGGCAAUUUUUGACAGCUCCUUUACUCAGCAUUUAGACAUGAAUCUAAUGCUUCAAUGUAAGACAGCCAUUUGACAGUAUGCACUAACCUUAAUCAGUUUUAAUUCAUGAAUGCAACUCAUCACACAUUCAUUUAUAACUUAGGCUAAGCAUUACUAUCAUCACUUAACAUCAGACAAUGCAUUACUUUCAAUCUGUUUUCAGUUCAUGAGCUUCAAACUAUAUCAUUUCACAUUUAGCAAACUCAUUACUUAACAGGAGCAAGCAUUUUACUCUUUAAACACUAAACAAGCCUUUAAAGCAUCCUGGGACAGAUUCAACUAGUUAUAUUUAGCAAUCACAUUAUCCUCAGGUUUUUCAAUCUAUACACAUCACAAUACACAGCUCAUCUUAUCAUCUGCUCAUCAUCAAGAAGGUUUUAAGAAUCGUUUACCACAAGGAACCAGAUUGGUUCCUUAAUCUUUCAUGAAACCGGCCAUGCUUUGUUGGACUUGAGAGUGUGGAUCGUCACCCACCUCCUUCACCUUCAGUUCAUGGCCCCCUUCUUGUUCCAUCAGCUUCAAGGACCCCUCCUUUCUUCAUCUCCACUAGGCGCCAAGCUCUUGACACCAUCUUCUUUGGAACCGGAUGUGUUCUUCUCUUGGACAAGGCGCCUUGGUACAAGGAUAGCUAGGCCUUGUCCAUACACCUCUGCUUCCAAGGAGAAUCACCAUCAGGACAGGAAGAGAACAGGAUGAGGAACCAUGAGAACUCGCCAAGCUUCAGUCUUCUUCUUCAUAAGGAGCUGAACCGGAUGGAGAGAGCUUCAAUGGUUUGGAUUUGAGCUGAGGAGAGAGCAGUGUGUUUGCGGAAGCUUCAGCUCAGGUUCUGAUGAACCUGGCUCUGAUACCAUAUGAGAUUUGAGAGCUCUGGCUGUGUAUGUGUAUGAGAAGCCAUUAGAGGCAGAGAAUAAGGUCUUGAACUAGUUGAAUAAGAGGUCUGAUGAAACUAGUAUGAACUUGAAUCAGAAACAAAGAGACUUAGAGAGAUUAAGAGAUUAGAGACUAAGAAAGGGGUAGAUUAAGGGAAUCUGAUCAAGAACACACUUUUAUAUUUAUGAAGGAGUUGGGGAAAUCCCCCAUACUCUCUUAAGAGAGUUACAAACGCCCAUGAGGUCUUUAUAUAGGUUUUACACUCUUGCAAACUCAUAAACCUAUAUCUAAUGGAUAGAAAUAACUUAAGAGGAAUGGAUGGUGAGGAUGAGUUGGUCUUGUUGUGAUCUGAGUGAUGUGUGCUGAUUGGAUGAGCUAAGCUGGCUCACUUUAAUUCAAACAAGGCUGUGCUGUGAUUGGCUCUCCUUAGGCUCCUUUGUAUCUGUCUACAGAUCAGUCUAGGUGCAUGGUCGUGGCUGCUCUUCCUUUACAGCAACAGCCAGCCUGUCCAUGCCCCAAAGUAACCAAUCAGCUCCACACAGCAUCUUCUUGAUUCCCUUUGACUAGAUUCAAACCUUGGUGCCUCACAUCCUGAAU